ensembl:lncRNA
CAAGGGUGCUGAAGAAUGACAAGACAACACUCACACUUUACCAAAGCAAGGCAAGAAAGAACGUUUCUGUCAUGAAUCAUGCUGACAGUUGCCAUCGAUGGGGACGCAGAGAGAACCGGAGACCGUUACACAUUACAACCAAACAAAGCGGGCCUGAGCUCAGAGCCAGACACAGCUCAAUGGAUGGAAGGAACACAACAGAGACCAUCUGUUGCCUGUGUGUUUGCCUUGGUGCCCUGCCACAAGGAGCUCCACCAGGGGACCCACGGGAGUCUGUACACAGAGCUGCACCAGGGGACCAGCACACAGAAGCACCUCACGCCUGUUGCCUCAUUUGCGUGAUUUCAGUGUUCCACCGACCAGCAGCAGCAAUUAUAAAGCUGUGUAGGGAAAUAAUCUAAGUGUGUGAGGGGACCAACACGGGUUAUAUAACCAAGCUACCAACGUUAAUUUGCCUGGGUUGGCAAAAUAAAACAACUUUCACUGUAAAGAAAGGGUAGUUGUUCCCUCGUGUCACUGAAGCUCUACUAGUUCAUUGAAUUGCAGCGCAGAUUGAAAAUAAGGAGAUAGAGAGAGAGAAAAGAGAGAGCGGAGAAUGGUGUUUUACUUGACGAGAAAAUUAAGUAUUGUUAUUGUUAAGCUGUAUCCUAAAUCGGUUAUGGUCAGUUCUUGUCUUGAAUUACAAGUACACUCUUGGAAAAAAAGGGUUCCAAAAUGGUUCUUUGGUCAUCCCCAUAGGAUAACCCUUUUUGGUUCCAGGUAGAACACAUUUUAGUUCCAGGUAGAACACUUUCGAGUUCCAUGUAGAAACAUCUUUGGAAAGGGUCCACAAUGAACCCAAAAGGGUUGUCCAACGGGGACAGUCAAAUAACCUUUCUAUGCCCAAGAUAGCACCUUUUUUCCUAAGAGUGUAGAGAAAUGAAAACAGACUCAAAUCUGUGCACCAUUACGGCAGGUUUAGACCAGGGAGACCAGAUGUUACACAGGGCUGACUUCACCCAAGAGAAACCUUUGCAAUUGUAGAAACAUCUUGAAGCCUUUUUCAAGACAUCAUCAGAAAACCACCAAUGCAAUGUAGCAUGACAUAAUUCUAUUUCAUCUGGAGCAUGUUUAGUUACACAAUAAGUGGUAACAGUUUGCCUACACUGUGGAUAAAUAUUUAGAUUUAUGUAAUUACUAACGUUGUUAAUAUACAUGAGUAAUGAUAAAGAUUGAUUAACAACACUUUACUAAUGAUUAUUAAAAUAUCCAAUGGGUCGUUUAUAAACAUUUCUAAUCAUUUUAAUACUGUAAGUGUUACGACCUGAACUCACCAGAAGAGAUGGGCUCGGGACAGGGUUGGGAAAGAGAUGUCGGUUCAACUCCCAGGAGCAUCAGUGGGAAAGAGAUGUCGGUUCAACUCCCAGGAGCAUCAGUGGGAAAGAGAUGUCGGUUCAACUCCCAGGAGCAUCAGUGGGAAAGAGAUGUCGGUUCAACUCCCAGGAGCAUCAGUGGGGAGAACUUGCUGCCUGUGUGUUAAAGGCAUUUAACCUGCAGCACCUCAGAAGAAACAUCCUGUAGUAUAAAUUGAAUAAAUGUUGCUAGGCAGAAGAGUGGAGGCCGUGUAAACUGCUUUGGAUUAAAGCACCCACCCAGCAAAGAACCCUGCAUGCCAUCAAUUAUUAACUUUGAAAUGUUUUCUUCUCUGCUUUGUUUUUCACAAAUACUUUAAAUCAGCUUCCAGAAAGUCUAGGCCUACUUCAUUAUUCACCAUCUGUGUGACACAGAGAUAAUGCCUAGAUGUGCAUUUUGUGAAUAUUUUGUAGUCUAUGUAAACAGCAGAUAAAUCAUUGAUGUCAUGCCGGGAUUGAUUAAUGUAUCGCAGAUGAGGGGGUGUGUGUGUGUGUGUGUGUGUGUGUGUGUGUGUGUGUGUGUGUGUGUGUGGUGUGUGUGUAAAGGGCCGGCUCUAGCCUUUUGGGGGCCCUGAGCUAAAUGUUGUUGGGGGGGCCCCGAUCUCACAGACAAAGCAUUUUGGUGGCACCCCUCUUGACAGUAAAGAGAAAAAAAUGUUUUAGAGUUAAUUUCCUGCAAUUCUACACAUUUUGCCAUG